rnacentral:rRNA from 1 species
AACGAACGCUGGCGGCAUGCUUAAUACAUGCAAGUUGAACGAAGAGUGCUUGCACUCUUAGUGGCAAACGGGUGAGUAACACGUGGGAAUCUGCCUUUUGGAGGGGAACAACUGAGGGAAACUUCUGCUAAUACCGCAUAGCCUUGGAAACAAGUAAAGAUUUAUCGCCAAAAGAUGAGCCCGCGCCGGAUUAGGUAGUUGGUAGGGUAAUGGCUUACCAAGCCUGUGAUCCGUAGCUGGUCUGAGAGGAUGAUCAGCCACACUGGGAUUGAGAUACGGCCCAGACUCCUACGGGAGGCAGCAGUAAGGAAUAUUGGACAACGGGGGAAACCCUGAUCCAGCAAUGCCGCGUGAAUGAAGAAGGCCUUCGGGUUGUAAAGUUCUCUCGCUUACGAGGAUAGUGACAGUAGUAAGAUAAGAAGGUCCGGCUAACUCUGUGCCAGCCGCCGCGGUAA